rnacentral:rRNA from 1 species
GGACUACUAGGGUUUCUAAUCCUGUUCGCUCCCCACGCUUUCGCACCUCAGCGUCAGUUCCGGCCCAGCCCACCGCCUUCGCCACCGGUGUUCUUCCUGAUAUCUGCGCAUUUCACCGCUACACCAGGAGUUCCGUGGGCCCCUACCGGACUCUAGCCAUGGCAGUAUCGGGUGGCAUCUCCAGGUUGAGCCUGGAGGUUUCACACCCGACUUGCCAAGCCGCCUACGUGCUCUUUACGCCCAAUGAAUCCGGACAACGCUCGCCCCCUACGUAUUACCGCGGCUGCUGGCAC